rnacentral:rRNA from 1 species
UACGAAGGGGGCUAGCGUUGCUCGGAUUUACUGGGCGUAAAGGGCGCGUAGGCGGACAGUUUAGUCAGAGGUGAAAGCCCAGGGCUCAACCUUGGAAUUGCCUUUGAUACUGGCUGUCUUGAGUACGGGAGAGGUGAGUGGAACUGCGAGUGUAGAGGUGAAAUUCGUAGAUAUUCGCAAGAACACCAGUGGCGAAGGCGGCUCACUGGCCCGAUACUGACGCUGAGGCACGAAAGCGUGGGGAGCAAACAGG